rnacentral:rRNA from 1 species
UACGAAGGGGGCUAGCGUUGCUCGGAAUUACUGGGCGUAAAGCGCACGUAGGCGGAUUGUUAAGUCGGGGGUGAAAUCCUGGAGCUCAACUCCAGAACUGCCUUUGAUACUGAGGAUCUUGAGUUCGGGAGAGGUGAGUGGAACUGCGAGUGUAGAGGUGAAAUUCGUAGAUAUUCGCAAGAACACCAGUGGCGAAGGCGGCUCACUGGCCCGAUACUGACGCUGAGGCAUGAAAGCGUGGGGAGCAAACAGG